GGUUUGUGGUUCUUGCAGACGGAAGCCUUUCUGAGCAGACUCCCAUUUACUUCUAUGUUGCCAAGGGGCUGAGGGCAAGUUGAAGACUUUCUUCUGUGCUGAUGAAUCAAGGUCUUCAAAGGCAACAGAUGUGAUGAAACCAAUUUAUGGAAGCACAGUUCCAGUGCUCAAAGGAGAAAAGUUCAGCAUGAGAAUAUUGGUGGAUCAUUCGAUAGUAGAAAGCUUCGCGCAGCCGGGAGGACAUGCAUACUUCGCGGAUAUAUCCAACGAAGGCCAUCUAUGAAGAUGCAAAAUUUUCUUGUUCAACAAUGCUACCGAGGCCAACAUCAUAGCCUCCCUCAAGAUUUGGCAAAUGGACUCUGCAUAUAUUCAUUCCUAUCCCACUGAACUCAUAAUAGGAACAUUGGUUGUCUCCUUCGUGCUCGUUGUAAUUAUUGUGUGGUUCCAUUCACGUUUCACAUUAAAGCCACUAUCUUCUCUCUUCCGCAACUCAAAUAGCUAG